UCUGUCUCCAAUCAGAUCGCCUAGUGUCGGCAUGUCUGUCUGCAGGAAGCUGCAGACCCAUCCUUGAUCCAGGUCAGUUCCUGCGCCCCACGUCAUUAGGAGCUAUCUGAUCCUUCCCGGUGACCAAGAGCAAAGCGUCCGUUCCUGUCCUGUGGCCUCUGGUUCAUGUAGGGGCUUCCUAUGUCACCCGGUCACCAGCACGGAGGGCAAUUUCUGGGCUGCCCCUCAGCCCUACAGCGUGUUCUGCCAGAUGCUGAAACUAGAACGAAAGUCACAGGACCCACAGAUAAAAGGGAUUGUGCCGAUAACAAAUGAUAACACUCCAGUGUGUGUUACUGCUCCAGCAGCUUCAAGAAUGGUGAAUGAAGUGAUUCUCCAAGAAAGCACAAGGUCUCAUGAAGAAAAGUGUUCUCAAGGCCAAUCAGCUUAGACGGAGUAAGGUCAUUUUUCCAGAGCACCUGUUGCAACACGGCCUACAGAGACCCCUGUCACUUGGGAUUCAAGUAAGUUACCAACCAAAGGAGAUGGGUAAUAGAUUUCCAGCCAUUAGUAUCAUAUCUGCGUAUUUAAUAAGGACCUAUCUGUGUGGUUUUCUAUGAUACAUGAGUCCAAUUAAAGCAACAACACUGAAAAGAAACAUUUCAGGGUUAACUCUGGCUAUUGUAAUUGGGGUAAUUUUUUCCUGCUUUUUCAGUUCAGUUCAGUCAGUCAGUUGUGUCCGACUCUUUGUGACCCCAUGAAUCGCAGCAUGCCAGGCCUCCCUGUCCAUCACCAACUCCCGGAGCCUACCCAAACUCAUGUCCAUCGAGUCGGUGAUGCCACCUAGCCAUCUCAUCCCCUGUCGUCCCCUUCUCCUCCUGCCCUCAAUCCUUCCCAGCAUCAGAGUCUUUUCAGGUGAGUCAAUCUUUGCAUAAGGUGGCCAAAGUAUUGGAGUUUGAGCUUCAGCAUCAGUGAUUCCAAUGAACACCCAGGACUGAACUCCUUUAGGAUGGACUGCUUGGUUCUCCUUGCAGUCCAAGGGACUCUCAAGAGUCUUCUCCAACACCACAGUUCAAAAGCAUUCAUUCUUUGGUGCUCAGCUGUCUUCACAGUCCAACUGUCACAUCCAGUAGUCAUACUACGGGAAAAACCAUAGCCACGACUAGACGGACCUUUGUUGGCAACGUAAUGCUUUUUAAUACUUUCUAAAUUCCCUGAAAAAGAAACAUAAAAUAUAAUUAGGAAAAGUUUUACAAUUUUUCAGGUUAAAGCAAACACAUACAACCUCUGCUUUCUAAGCUGUCUCUAUCAUUAAGCAAAGCCAGUAAACAUUAAUAGGGAAAAACCUAGAUAUCAGCAUGCUCAUUUCAUUGUCCUUACUUACUGCUCAAAUAAACUUGGUUGUGACACAUACUGAAACUGAUUCUGGGGAUCUGAUAGAGAAAAGAGCAAGAACUGACAGUAGACAUAUGAGAUACCCCAAGGUUAAUAUUUUCCCAUUUUCUGUUUCUCUUAGUUGAAAUAGAGUUGAUUUACAGUGUUCUAUUAGUUUCAAGUGUGCAACAUAGAGAUUCAGUGUUUCUAUUGAUGAUGCUGCAUUUAAAGUUUUAUGAAAUAUUGACUAUAUUUCUUGUUCUCUACAAUAUAUUCUUCUAGCUUAUUUAUUUUAUACAUACGAGUUCAUACCUCUUAAUCCCUUACCCCUACUUUGCCCUUCUGGCCCACCACUUUCUACUGGUCACCACUGGUUUCUUCUCUGUAUCUGUGAAUCUAUUUCCAACUUUUUUAUCGUUAUUUAUCUAAUUUUUUGGAUUCGACAUAAAAGUGAUAUAAAAUAUUUCUUGUUCUGACUUAUUUCACUAAGUAUAACAUCCUUUAGACCCAUCCAUGUUGUUGUAAAU
ensembl:lncRNA